rnacentral:rRNA from 1 species
AUACAGGGGGUGCAAGCGUUGUUCGGAAUCAUUGGGCGUAAAGGGCGUGUAGGCGGUGAAGUGUGUCUGAUGUGAAAGCCCUCGGCUUAACCGAGGAAUGGCAUUGGAAACUACUUCACUCGAGUGCGAGAGGGGACAGCGGAAUUCCCAGUGUAGAAGUGAAAUUCGUAGAUAUUGGGAGGAACACCAGCGGCGAAGGCGGCUGUCUGGCUCGCAACUGACGCUGAGACGCGAAAGCGUGGGGAGCAAACAGGAUUAGAAACCCCAGUAGUCC